rnacentral:rRNA from 1 species
GAUGAACGCUGGCGGCGUGCCUAAUACAUGCAAGUCGAGCGAACAGACGAGGAGCUUGCUCCUCUGACGUUAGCGGCGGACGGGUGAGUAACACGUGGAUAACCUACCUAUAAGACUGGGAUAACUUCGGGAAACCGGAGCUAAUACCGGAUAAUAUAUUGAACCGCAUGGUUCAAUAGUGAAAGACGGUUUUGCUGUCACUUAUAGAUGGAUCCGCGCCGCAUUAGCUAGUUGGUAAGGUAACGGCUUACCAAGGCAACGAUGCGUAGCCGACCUGAGAGGGUGAUCGGCCACACUGGAACUGAGACACGGACCAGACUCCUACGGGAGGCAGCAGUAGGGAAUCUUCCGCAAUGGGCGAAAGCCUGACGGAGCAACGCCGCGUGAGUGAUGAAGGUCUUCGGAUCGUAAAACUCUGUUAUUAGGGAAGAACAAAUGUGUAAGUAACUAUGCACGUCUUGACGGUACCUAAUCAGAAAGCCACGGCUAACUACGUG